rnacentral:lncRNA from 1 species
UUUGACAAUCAACUAAAAAUAUAAAAAGAGUGUAUUACACUCGUGGUGAUGUGGCAAAUUCACGAAUAAACAACGUACAUGACAUUUUGAGUCAAAAUAACAAUGAAAAAAUUAUGACAAAAAAGGAAAACUAUUUUUAGGUCAAUGUCCACCCAUCAUCACCUCUUCAACUUUUCUUUUCCAGAAUGACGCCGUACACCAUUGUCGUCGCCACCAUCACCUUCGCAAAUCGAUCCUUCUUCAAUUUCAUCAGUUAUAUCCUCUUUGUUUCAUGUUUGGACAAAAAUUGAAGAAAAGUCAAUAAUUAAUGGUGAAAUUGAGCUAUUUCAAUGAAAAAAAAUAUUAUAUUUUGAAAAAGGAAAGUCAACAAUUAAUCUUUUUUUCUUCUUCUUUUGGUAUGAAUAGCAGAUCAUUAAAUUCCAAAAUAGAAAAAGAUGAAGACUUUAACAGUAGCAUUGUUAACCACUUCCCCUGCUACUCAUCGACCGCCGAUCACUUUUUCUUUUUUUCUUCUUUAUCAUAUAUCAACAAUGGUAGAUUUAGAUUUAAAAAUAAAAAAAGAAAUAAAAUUUUAAGAGAAAAAUAAUGUUCUAAGAUCUGGAGGAAAAAACAAAGCGAAAUAUUAACGGUAAAGGUGAUGGCGUUGUUUAUAUUGCCAAUUUAUAAUUUUGCUUACUUCCAUACAAUCAAGCAAUUCU